AAUGAACGCUGGCGGCGUGUCUUAAGCAUGCAAGUCGUGCGGCAAGGGUAGCAAUACCCCUAGAGCGGCGGACUGGUGAGUAACGCGUGGGUGAUCUGCCUCUGGGAUGGGGAUAGCCACUAGAAAUAGUGGGUAAUACCGAAUACGUUCGUCGGGCUGUGGCCUGACGAGGAAAGGCGCUUCGGCGCCACCCGGAGAUGAGCCCGCGUCCCAUUAGCUAGUUGGUGAGGUAACGGCCCACCAAGGCGAUGAUGGGUAGGCGGCCUGAGAGGGUGUACGCCCACACUGGGACUGAGAUACGGCCCAGACUCCUACGGGAGGCAGCAGCUAAGAAUAUUCCGCAAUGGACGAAAGUCUGACGGAGCGACGCCGCGUGGAUGAAGAAGGCCGAAAGGUUGUAAAAUCCUUUGUUGGGGAAGAAUAAGCGUGGGAGGGAAGUGCCCGCGUGAUGACAUGAACCGACGAAUAAGUCCCGGCUAACUACGUGCCAGCAGCCGCGGUAAU
rnacentral:rRNA from 1 species